rnacentral:lncRNA from 1 species
UCAAUAAGCAGGGCAGUCAGGUGCAAAACACUCAAAGCCCCAAUGCAGCAACACGCCAACAAUGCAAAGCAAACACAGCAGAAGCCAUACACCAAACCCGGGGGCAAAAUCGUCAACAACCCCAAAAGUAGCAUCCUCAAUGGGGCGAUAAUAUGGGUACAACCGUCAAAAGCCCCAAAAUAAUCGCAAGUGUUAGAACAACAAACUCAGAUCCAUAAUCAUCACUGACUACUUUUUAGAUUUAUAGACGAAGAGAUAGGAAAAAAACCAAUAAUGAAUCCCUAAUCAGAAUAUGCAUAAAACAAACCAAAAGGGAUCAAUUAAUCAGUCCAUCUAGAUGAAUUCCAAUUUUUUACAUACAUAAUGAAUGAUAUUCAUUUAUCAGUCGAAAUUAUACCUUAAUAGUGUGGCUCUGGUGAAUAUAGCGGCAGUAAAGUUUCGAUUACGUUGUUUCAGAGUAUUAGGGUAUUUGAUUGGUGAAGUUUCCAUUAUGUUGUUUUGGAGUAUUAGGGUCUUCAAUCGGUGAUUUUCAAAUCUUUGCCUGGUCGUAGAGGGUAGCUUUGAAAUCGUAUAACAGGUCAAAUGGCGGGAUAUCAAAAUUUCAUAGGGCUGGACACCAAAAUUGAUGGCGGGAUAUCAAAAUUUGAUAGGAGGGGUACCUAAAAGUGAUAGCGGCAUAUCC